rnacentral:rRNA from 1 species
GAACGCUGGCGGCAUGCCUUACACAUGCAAGUCGAACGGCAGCACGGGAGCAAUCCUGGUGGCGAGUGGCGAACGGGUGAGUAAUAUAUCGGAACGUGCCCAGUCGUGGGGGAUAAACGCAGCGAAAGCUGUGCUAAUACCGCAUACGAUCUACGGAUGAAAGCGGGGGAUCGCAAGACCUCGCGCGAUUGGAGCGGCCGAUAUCAGAUUAGCUAGUUGGUGGGGUAAAAGCCCACCAAGGCGACGAUCUGUAGCUGGUCUGAGAGGACGACCAGCCACACUGGAACUGAGACACGGUCCAGACUCCUACGGGAGGCAGCAGUGGGGAAUUUUGGACAAUGGGCGCAAGCCUGAUCCAGCAAUGCCGCGUGCAGGAUGAAGGCCUUCGGGUUGUAAAGCUCUUUCGGCCGGGAAAAAAUCGCAUCAGUUAAUACCUGGUGUGGAUGAUGGUACCGGAAUAAGAAGCACCGGCUAACUACGUG